AUGAACGCUGGCGGCGUGCCUAAUCCAUGCAAGUCGAGCGAACGGACGAGAAGCUUGCUUCUCUGAUGUUAGCGGCGGACGGGUGAGUAACACGUGGAUAACCUACCUAUAAGACUGGGAUAACUUCGGGAAACCGGAGCUAAUACCGGAUAAUAUUUUGAACCGCAUGGUUCAAAAGUGAAAGACGGUCUUGCUGUCACUUAUAGAUGGAUCCGCGCUGCAUUAGCUAGUUGGUAAGGUAACGGCUUACCAAGGCAACGAUGCAUAGCCGACCUGAGAGGGUGGUCGGCCACACUGGACCUGAGACACGGUCCAGACUCCUACGGGAGGCAGCAGUAGGGAAUCUUCCGCAAUGGGCGAAAGCCUGACGGAGCAACGCCGCGUGAGUGAUGAAGGUCUUCGGAUCGUAAAACUCUGUUAUUAGGGAAGAACAUAUGUGUAAGUAACUGUGCACAUCUUGACGGUACCUAAUCAGAAAGCCACGGCUAACUACGUG
rnacentral:rRNA from 1 species